rnacentral:rRNA from 1 species
UAGCUAGUUGGUGAGGUAAAGGCUUACCAAGGCGACGAUCUGUAGCGGGUCUGAGAGGAUGAUCCGCCACACUGGAACUGAGACACGGUCCAGACUCCUACGGGAGGCAGCAGUGGGGAAUUUUGGACAAUGGGGGCAACCCUGAUCCAGCCAUGCCGCGUGAGUGAAGAAGGCCUUCGGGUUGUAAAGCUCUUUCGGCCGGGAAGAAAUCGCAUGGGCCAAUACCCUGUGUGGAUGACGGUACCGGAAUAAGAAGCACCGGCUAACUACGUGCCAGCAGCCGCGGUAAUACGUAGGGUGCGAGCGUUAAUCGGAAUUACUGGGCGUAAAGCGUGCGCAGGCGGUUUUGUAAGACAGGCGUGAAAUCCCCGGGCUUAACCUGGGAACUGCGUUUGUGACUGCAAGGCUAGAGUACGGCAGAGGGGGGUGGAAUUCCACGUGUAGCAGUGAAAUGCGUAGAGAUGUGGAGGAACACCAAUGGCGAAGGCAGCCCCCUGGGUCGGUACUGACGCUCAUGCACGAAAGCGUGGGUAGCAAACAGGAUUAGAUACCCUGGUAGUCCACGCCCUAAACUAUGUCAACUAGGUGUUGGGUGGGUAAAACCAUUUAGUACCGUAGCUAACGCGUGAAGUUGACCGCCUGGGGAGUACGGCCGCAAGGCUAAAACUCAAAGGAAUUGACGGGGACCCGCACAAGCGGUGGAUGAUGUGGAUUAAUUCGAUGCAACGCGAAAAACCUUACCUACCCUUGACAUGCUAGGAACUUGCCAGAGAUGGCUUGGUGCCCGAAAGGGAGCCUGGACACAGGUGCUGCAUGGCUGUCGUCAGCUCGUGUCGUGAGAUGUUGGGUUAAGUCCCGCAACGAGCGCAACCCUUGUCGUUAAUUGCCAUCAUUUAGUUGGGCACUUUAACGAGACUGCCGGUGACAAACCGGAGGAAGGUGGGGAUGACGUCAAGUCCUCAUGGCCCUUAUGGGUAGGGCUUCACACGUCAUACAAUGGUCGGUACAAAGGGUUGCCAAGCCGCGAGGCGGAGCCAAUCCCAGAAAGCCGAUCGUAGUCCGGAUUGUAGGCUGCAACUCGCCUGCAUGAAGUCGGAAUCGCUAGUAAUCGUGGAUCAGCAUGUCUCGGUGAAUACGUUCCCGGGUCUUGUACACACCGCCCGUCACACCAUGGGAGCGGGUUCCGCCAGAAGUAGGUAGCCUAACCGCAAGGGGGGCGCUUACCACGGCGGGGUUCGUGACUGGGGUGAAGUCGGAACAAGGUAGCCGUAGGGGAACCUGCGGCUG